rnacentral:snoRNA from 1 species
GUGGGGGUGACGAUAUUUUUUUUUAACCUUGAGGAUCUUCAAUGAUGUUUCAAGUAUUCAUACUGUCUGACCCAA